CCAGGAGGGACGAGGGGCCAGGAGCGGGAGGGGGGGUGCCGUGGCGCCGCUCUUGGGCUGCGAGGCCUCCCCCUGGGCCCGCGGCGCCACGCGGAGACCGCGACAGCAGCAGCAGGAGGUUUAAGAAUCUGCUGGUGUCUGUGCUGGAGGUGGACGUCUGGAUAUCUGUGCGGUCUGGAGCGGUGGACAAUAGACUUCUGCAGCUCAACCAGGACCCCCUGGAUGCGUUGAGGCAGCUCUGAUCGCGUAACUGUGAAUCUCUCAAGGCGGAGUUCUCCAGUGGAGAGUCUCGCGUCUUGUCCUGGACUCGCACCCAGGAGUCCUUCGCCCAGGAGCGCCUGGAUCUGCUCCACUGCCAGGACCACUGCGUGCAUCUCCACGGCAACCGCCGUAGCAAUCGCGGCAACCAACAUCACCACGAUGGUCACCGUAGAGACCGCCAUGAUUAUAGCAACUUCCAUCGCCAUAGCAGCAACCACCAUCACCACAGUAAUCACCGUAGUUACCACCAUCACUGUCAGCAACCAUAGCGUAGCAACCACAAUCAGUCUAGCAACAACCACCAUCACCACAGCCACCAAUAUGGCAACGACAACACAGCAAUCACCAUCAACAUAGUUGCAAUCACAGCAUAGAAACCACAUUCACUCUAGCAGCAAACCACCAUCACUACAGCAAUCAUCGUAGUAACCACCGUCACCAAAGCAACCACCAUAACUG